rnacentral:rRNA from 1 species
AUUGAACGCUGGCGGCAGGCCUAACACAUGCAAGUCGAACGAGCGGCGGACGGGUGAGUAAUGUAUGGGAAACUGCCCGAUGGAGGGGGAUAACUACUGGAAACGGUGGCUAAUACCGCAUACUAUCGGAUGAACCCAGAUGGGAUUAGCUUGUUGGUGGGGUAACGGCUCACCAAGGCGACGAUCCCUAGCUGGUCUGAGAGGAGGACCAGCCACGCUGGGACUGAGACACGGUCCAGACUCCUACGGGAGGCAGCAGUGGGGAAUGUUGCAAAAUGGGCGCAAGCCGGAUGCAGCCAGGCCGCGUGUAUGAAGAAGGCCUUAGGGUUGUAAAGUACUUUCAGCGGGGAGGCGUUACCCGCAGAAGAAGCACCGGCUAACUCCGUGCCAGCAGCCGCGGUAAUUC